GCGGGCAUGGCUCAGUGGUAGAGCGUCUGCUUCCCAAGCAGAAUGUCGCGGGUUCGAAUCCCGCUGCCCGCUCUA
rnacentral:tRNA from 1 species